rnacentral:siRNA from 1 species
CAACUAUCCGGACAUGUGGCA